rnacentral:rRNA from 1 species
GACGUUGGCUUAGAAGCAGCCAUCGUUUAAAGAAAGCGUAAUAGCUCACUGGUCUAAUGGCUCUGCGCCGAAAAUGUAACGGGGCUAAGCAUGGUACCGAAGCUUUGGCAAUCUCCUUUGGAGAUUGGGUAGGGGAGCGUUCGCUGCGGGCUGAAGGUGUAUCGGAAGGUAUGCUGGACUGCAGUGAAGUGAUUAUGCUGACAUGAGUAACGAUAAAAUAUGUGAAAAACAUAUUCGCCGAAAACCCGAGGUUUCCUGGGUAAAGGUAAUCUUCCCAGGGUUAGUCGGAUCCUAAGGUGAGGGUGAAAGCCGUAACCGAUGGAAAACAGGUUAAUAUUCCUGUACUUGUUGUGUAGCGCGAUGGAGGGACGCAGGAAGAUAGGCGGGCCGGGUGUUGGAUAUCCCGGUGCAAGCGUGUAGGAAUAUCCGGUAGGCAAAUCCGCCGGACGAAUCUGAGACGCGAGUCCGUGGGCGCAAGCCCUGAAGCCGUUGAGUCUAUGCUGCCUAGAAAAGCUCCUAAGUUUAUCCACAGCAAUCCGUACCGCAAACCAACUCAGGUGGGUGGGAUGAACAAUCCAAGGCGCUCGAGAGAACUCUGGCCAAGGAACUCGGCAAAAUAACCCCGUAACUUCGGAAGAAGGGGUGCUCUCUAGGGUGACAUGUUUAACAUAUGAAGCCCCGGGGAGCCGCAGUGAAUUGGUGGUGGCGACUGUUUACUAAAAACAUAGGUCUGUGCGAAGUCCUAAAGACGACGUAUACGGACUGACGCCUGCCCGGUGCUGGAAGGUUAAAAGGAGGGGUCAGCGCAAGCAAAGCUCCGAAUUGAAGCCCCAGUAAACGGCGGCCGUAACUAUAACGGUCCUAAGGUAGCGAAAUUCCUUGUCGGGUAAGUUCCGACCUGCACGAAUGGCGUAACGAUCUCCACACUGUCUCGGCCAGAGACUCGGUGAAAUUGCAGUCGCGGUGAAAAUUCCGUGUACCCGCAGAAAGACGGAAAGACCCUGUGCACCUUUACUAUAGCUUGACAUUGGAUUUUGGGCCUGCAUGUGUAGGAUAGGUGGGAGGCUGUGAACCCUGUACGCCAGUAUGGGGGGAGCCAUCCUUGAAAUACCACCCUUGCAUGUUUAAGAUCCUAACUUCUUCCGGUUAUCCCGGAGAAAGACAGUGUCUGGCGGGUAGUUUGACUGGGGCGGUCGCCUCCUAAAGAGUAACGGAGGCAUGCAAAGGUUCCCUCAGCCUGAUCGGAAACCAGGCGCUGAGUGCAAACGCAUAAGGGAGCUUGACUGUAAGAGAGACAUCUCGAACAGGAACGAAAGUUGGCGUUAGUGAUCCGGUGGUCCCGAAUGGAAGGGCCAUCGCUCAUUGGAUAAAAGGUACGCCGGGGAUAACAGGCUGAUCGCAUCCAAGAGUUCACAUCGACGAUGCGGUUUGGCACCUCGAUGUCGGCUCAUCACAUCCUGGGGCUGAAGCAGGUCCCAAGGGUACGGCUGUUCGCCGUUUAAAGUGGUACGCGAGCUGGGUUUAAAACGUCGUGAGACAGUUUGGUCCCUAUCUUCUGUGGGCGUAGGAGAAUUGAGAGGGUUUGUCCCUAGUACGAGAGGACCGGGAUGAACGCACCACUGGUGGAUCAGUUGUCGCGCCAGCGGCAUAGCUGAGUAGCUAUGUGCGGAAUGGAUAACCGCUGAAAGCAUCUAAGCGGGAAGCCAGCCUCGAGAUAAGUUCUCCCUGUCGCAAGACACUAAAGGGCCGAUGAAGACUACAUCGUUGAUAGGCCGGAGGUGGAAGCGCUGCGAAGCGUGGAGCUGACCGGUACUAAUAGCCCGUGCGCCUUAUAU